AUUGCACACUCGAUCCGCCGGUUAUCCCUGUCCGGUCUUCCGCAUCCAGUCCGGGGCUGCGCUCCCCCCUCGCACCUACCGCCGCCGCCACAAACCCGCGCCCAGCCCCCGACGCCACACCACCCAAAACCGUCACCACCGCCAUAGAACCCGCACCCAAAGCCCGACGCCGCCCCACCAAAACCGCCCAGCUCAGAUCCCUGCCGUCGCUGCUCCUUCUUCCCCACACUCGCCCCCGAUCCCGGCGUCCAGCUCGAAUUGGUGCCCCCAAUCCUGGCACCCAGUCACUGCUCCCUCCUCUAGACGUGACCCCAAUCCCGACGCCAAGCUCGGAUAUAUCCUGGCGGCGCUGCAUCAACCUGCCGUCGUCGCUCCUUCACCCCCAGACGCGUCCCCAACUCCAGCGCCGCACCACCCCCAUCCCGGCAUGUCUCGGGGGAUCCUGUUCACCCCCUCCUACCGUGCCGCUGAGAGCCUCCCGCCAGCGCGCCGCAUCCUCACAACGUAGAGCUUCAGAGGUACCCCCUACUAGCGCCGCGGCGAGACGCUGCGCCGUCGGCGACCCUCCUGGCGAUGCGUUGUUUUUCCAUCCCGUGCCUCCCCGGCGAGCUGUAAGCGUCCGUGCAGUGUGGACAUAGCAACCCUGUGUUGGAGAUAUGGUGCCGGAGCCGCGAGGUGUUGUUCUUUCCCUCCAUCGCAGAUCCCCCGACGCCACAGGCCUCCACCGCGCCAUUGUGUUUGGCCGCCACCGAUUCCGUCGAUGUUCUCCAUCCGUGAGCCCACAUCAUCUUACCCAUUAUCUUCUCUCUUCGCUCAUCCCCUUUAAAUACCUCACCAGAUUAAGGAAAAACAACCGGCCUCUCCCCUGGCCGACGAGCUGGUAGCAUGCCUGAUGAGCUGGUGGCCAUGAGCAGAUGAACGACGUGCAACAACACCCAAAUACUGAAUCAAGCAUCCAGCAGAGAGGACAAGUGCCGCAGCCCCUGCACUCUGGUGCCUUGCCCCUUUGUGCUUUCUUCUAUUAUCAACUAGUGCAUGUGUUCAGGAGGUGAAUUUUUUUUUUGUUUGCGAAUUGAUCUCCGAGUCCAACGCAUGUGGAUAGUUGUAGAUAACAACAUCUCUUGGCAGAGUUAUGAUUACUAGAUUAGCAAGAAAAUUAUUUAGCAGAUUUUUCUGAAUUUAUUGAUUGAUAGUUCAGUUGAUUUUUAGCUAACAAUUAUAAUACCCUGCCCGCGCCUAGACAGAGCAUGCAGCUGUUUUUCGUGGUUCUAUUGUGGAUCUGUGCAACUAAUGAUGCAUGAUUAGCUUUAUAUUUUGGUGGAUUAAUCAGAUGCCUAAUCUAUCAAAAAUAUUCAACUUUUGUCAGUUAUUGAGAUAUAAAAGCUGCCUUGCCAUGGACAUUUUAGUUCAGUCAAAAUAAUUUGUGUCCAUUGCCUUCCGGAUCUAGACUGCUCUUAGUUCACAGGCUACAAAUGAAGUUUAAAACUGUUAUUUUGGAUGACUUAAAAUCACACUAAGCUAGUAAUGAAGAUGGUGUUCUGUACAAUGUAAGGUUUAGCCUACAGAUAUACUUUCUCCUAUUUUUGUGUUACUGCGUACAAUUUUCUAUCUGCAUACCAUUUAAUUUCCGUUGGUUGAUUUACCUUGGAGGUUCCGAUGAUUUGCCCAGGUUGUAGUUCAAAUUAGGCCUUAGAUUGUUGCAAUUGGUAUUUGCGUCAUUCUUUUCCCCGUUUCAUUAUUUUAUAGUUCAGUUUCUUGAUGAUUUGUUCAUGUUUUAGUUCAAAGAGGUUUCUUACCUUCAUUCUAUCCCCCAGCUGUUUCUUGAUUGCAUGUGUUGGUGGCGAUGAUGUGUAAUAAUCAAUAGAUUGAAGAAUUAAAUCGAGUACCUGCUGGUGUUUUCAGUCAGUUUGAAUUCCAUUCCCCUCCUGCUGCUUGAUAAAAUGCGUUGGUGGAGAUGGUUAGUGGGACGAUUUGUAAUAAUGGUGAGAGGUUAAAGACUUAAAUUGAGUAGUGGGUGUACCUUCUGCUGUUUUCAGCUUAUUUGCAGUCCCAAAUUUAGUGACCUAGUGUUUUCAGCUUAUUAGCAGUCCCAAAUUUAGUGAUGGCUGGGUGCAGAGGCAACCAGUUCAACUUCUUUUUUCCUUGGGCCCCAUAUUUAGUGAUAAUGAGCGUCAUAAAGUAUUUUCUGGCAUUUCAAGAGGCUAUUAGCCAGUACUAAUCCCUGUGUGUGCAGAUCGGAGACCAUUUCCACCAGAGCAUCUUUGGCGACCAUAACAUGUGAGUGCUGAACUAGAACAUUUUAUAUCAUUUGAUUUACAUAUGAUUAUAGUCAUGGUUCCUCAUUGUAAUUAUCUGAUGUUUUAUGCCAUCAAAUUAUGUGUCCAAAAAAAAUACUUUUUGUUGGCUCUUACAAAACCGAUGCACCAAAAUUGCAAAGUAGCCAUCUUUUAUGUUCAUGGCUAUAUUGUGAAAUCACUAUGUUCAGAUAGCAAAUUUUCACCUUUUAUUAUUAAAGUUGAGAUGACAAGGUUUCAGAAAAUAAUCAUUGUGUUUUAAGUUGCAGCAUCCAUUGUACUAUUUUUCUUUAUUGGCAUUGUCGUUUUAGACUUUUGGUAUGUUGGUCGUAUAAGCAGUUGUAUGCCACGGAUCAGCUCAAACUGGACUUCAUCUCCGAAGAAAGGAAUGCCCCCUGCGCUGGGUUACUACUGGGGCUAAUGUGUACUGAACAAUCCAUGUUUUCAAAUCGUCUAGUCGGACCUAGUCGCCAUGGGACCGAUCCGACGACUAGUCGCGAUUAGUCGUCGAUCUGGCCGAUUAGUCGAGCCUAGUCGGUCCUAGUCGUCUGGCUAGUCGUCCUAUGUGUCCCAGGACCGAUAUGAUAUAUGUACUGCAUAUUACUUAAUAAAAAGCAAGCAUGAAGGCAACAAUGAUGGCCGAUUUUUCACUUACUUGUCAGAGAUGAUUUGUGAAUUGUCCAGAACUUUGUCUCAGCCUCUAUAUACCAAAAACCUAAUGGGCUACCUUGCGAACCGUCACCGGCCCAGGCCCACAACUCAAACAGCCCACAAAACAAUCUCAAGUCCGAUCGUUUUCCAACCUGAUCGGCGCGACUAAUCGCGACUAGUCGGACGACUAGAAAACUAGUCGCCCAAACCUACUCGGUGUCCCUUAUCGGGGUCACCGGACCGAUAAGCCCGACUAAUCGCGACUAAUCGUGAUUAGUUGGACGACUAGAUAACACUGUGAAGAAUUAUUGAAGAUUGACAUUGACUUAAGCAGCGACACACCUGCAUAGCACCUCAUGAUCCUGUCUAUACUAUGACAUCAAACAUUGUUUUUUUUUGCAAUUAUGUAGUGCUUUGACUUUGUGGCUUGUGUUUCCUGAAGUUGCUUGGGUGUGGGGUACAGUAGUUUGUAAAUUUUUGCCUGCGCAGACAGACCAUGUUUGUUAAAUUUGUUCUUUCGAGUAUAUAAGAACAUGUGUAUUCACA